rnacentral:rRNA from 1 species
GACGAACGCUGGCGGCGUGCUUAACACAUGCAAGUCGAACGGAAAGGCCCUGCUUUUGUGGGGUGCUCGAGUGGCGAACGGGUGAGUAACACGUGAGUAACCUGCCCUUUACUUUGGUAUAACUUCAGGAAACUGGGGCUAAUACCGGAUAGGAGCUCCUGCUGCAUGGUGGGGGUUGGAAAGUUUCGGCGGUUGGGGAUGGACUCGCGGCUUAUCAGCUUGUUGGUGGGGUAGUUGCUUACCAAGGCUUUGACGGGUAGCCGGCCUGAGAGGGUGACCGGCCACAUUGGGACUGAGAUACGGCCCAGAAUCCUACGGGAGGCAGCAGUGAGGAAUAUUGCACAAUGGGCGGAAGCGUGAUGAAGCAACGCCGCGUGCGGGAUGACGGCCUUCGGGUUGUAAACCGCUUUCGCAUGUGACGAAGAGUGAGUGACGGUAAUGGGUAAAGAAGCACCGGCUAACUACGUG